rnacentral:rRNA from 1 species
UCGAGAAUUUUUCUCAAUGGGCGAAAGCCUGAAGGAGCGACGCCGCGUGGGGGAUGAAUGGCUUCGGCCCGUAAACCCCUGUCAUUUGCGAACAAUGUGCAUUAUUUAAAAGAUGAUGCAUUGAUAGUAGCGAAAGAGGAAGGGACGGCUAACUCUGUGCCAGCAGCCGCGGUAAUACAGAGGUCCCGAGCGUUGUUCGGAUUCACUGGGCGUAAAGGGUGCGUAGGUGGUGAGGAAAGUCGGAUGUGAAAUCUCCAAGCUCAACUUGGAAAUGGCAUUGGAAACUACCUUGCUGGAGGAUUGGAGGGGGGACUGGAAUACUUGGUGUAGCAGUGAAAUGCGUAGAUAUCAAGUGGAACACCAGUGGCGAAGGCGAGUCCCUGGACAAUACCUGACACUGAGGCACGAAAGCUAGGGGAGCAAACAGGAUUAGAUACCCCUGUAGUCC